rnacentral:miRNA from 1 species
AGCACUGGAGUAGCCAAGAGA